GAAUAUUGGACAAUGGGCGAAAGCCUGAUCCAGCCAUGCCGCGUGUGUGAAGAAGGUCUUCGGAUUGUAAAGCACUUUAAGUUGGGAGGAAGGGCAGUAAGUUAAUACCUUGCUGUUUUGACGUUACCGACAGAAUAAGCACCGGCCAACUUCGUGCCAGCCGCCGCGGUAAUACGAAGGGUGCAAGCGGUAAUCGGCAUUCCUGGGCGUAAAGCGCGCGUAGGUGGUUCGUUAAGUUGGAUGUGAAAGCCCCGGGCUCAACCUGGGAACUGCAUCCAAAACUGGCGAGCUAGAGUAUGGCAGAGGGUGGUGGAAUUUCCUGUGUAGCGGUGAAAUGCGUAGAUAUAGGAAGGAACACCAGUGGCGAAGGCGACCACCUGGGCUAAUACUGACACUGAGGUGCGAAAGCGUGGGGAGCAAACAGGA
rnacentral:rRNA from 1 species